rnacentral:lncRNA from 1 species
AUGAGGGUGCCAAAUCUCUGUUCAAGGGUGCUGGUGCUAACAUCCUCCGUGCCGUUGCGGGUGCUGGUGUGUUGGCAGGUUAUGACAAGCUUCAGGUCAUUGUUUUUGGAAAGAAAUAUGGUUCUGGUGGUGCCUAAGUCCGACUUAACUACUUGUUUUUUUAGAAUUAGAAUAUGGUGAUGAAAAUCCUUUAAAUUCGAAGAACCAUUUUGGGGCAGAUAUUUUACGUUUUUCCCCGUCCCUUUUGAAUAAUUCAAAACUUAGAGCGGGUUAGAACUUUAAACCCUCA